rnacentral:miRNA from 1 species
CUAUGCAAUCCGCUAGCUUAAC